ensembl:lncRNA
GAAGACCCCCGCCAAGUGAAACCCCCUGUGAAGUCAAAUCUGGCUCAUCUCUGAGCACCUUUACAGAACUGAUUCACUCUGUCUUCAAGGGUUGAUAGAAAGGAAGAAAAAAAGUAGAGAACGCCUGCAUCUCUCCUAACAUCGCUGAAUUCAUUGGCGCACCUCCCUCUAGGGGCCACGGAACAAACAGCCUAUUUGCCUGGGAGGAUCUAGCCACUACACACAGGCAAGUGUCAUCUGAGCCAGGUGUGCAACUCUUCCAAGUGUCCUAGGCAGGAAAAGCACAGGCUCCUCCUCUGUAGCCACAGGGACAAGAAGGAAAUAAAAUGCAAACAUCAAGUUGUGCUCUUCAAUUCUCACCACAGUCUGGCGAAGCAGGGAUUAUUCCCGUUUUUGCAGAAGAAACUGAUCCUCACUGUAGUUCAAAAGCUUGUCCACAAUCACAUGACUAGUGAAUUGUGUCGAUCCCAGGUCUGACUCCAAAGUCUGUGCUCCUGCCCCCUGCCCACUGCUGCCUGCUUUGUAGUCUGACUAUUGUCUAAUUCUGUUCUUGAACUUAAUUAUGAGCAAGAUUUAGGGUGGGGGACAGUCCUAGGCAACACUUCUGCAAGGAAGGGGGCUGUUACUGACUGGACAACAC